rnacentral:rRNA from 1 species
GACGAACGCUGGCGGCGUGCUUAACACAUGCAAGUCGAACGGAAAGGCCCUGCUUUUGUUGGGUGCUCGAGUGGCGAACGGGUGUGUAACACGUGUGUAACCUGCCCUUGACUUUGGGAUAACUUCAGGAAACUGGGGCUAAUACCGGAUAGGAGCUCCUGCUGCAUGGUGGGGGUUGGAAAGUUUCGGCGGUUGGGGAUGGACUCGCGGCUUAUCAGCUUGUUGGUGGGGUAGUGGCUUACCAAGGCUUUGACGGGUAGCCGGCCUGAGAGGGUGACCGGCCACAUUGGGACUGAGAUACGGCCCAGACUCCUACGGGAGGCAGCAGUGGGGAAUAUUGCACAAUGGGCGGAAGCAUGAUGCAGCAACGCCGCGUGCGGGAUGAAGGCCUUCGGGUUGUAAACAGAUUUAGCAUGUGACGAAGAGUGAGUGACGGUAAUGGGUAAAGAAGCACCGGCUAACUACGUG